UCCUGGUGGCAAACAAUGUCUCUAAAGCCCGACGCACACGUGAGUUAUUUUACUCAAGUAAAAUGACGCAUGAGUCAAAUUACUCAACGAAAAUCCGCCGCACACGUGAGUAAAAUGAUGCAUGCGUCAAAUUCUUCAACGAAAAUCCGCCGCACACGUGAGUGAAAUGACUCAUGCCUCAUAUUAUUUGAGUAAAAUAACUCACGUGUGCGCCGGGCUUAAUCCUACCGAAGGUGAGAAGUGUAAUUGUUAAUUGUUACAAUGGGUUGUUUUCCCAUGUUCGUCACUAGGGGCGAAAGUUUCCAACCUCUAGGUAAAACCUUCAUUCAUUCGUUGAUAAAUAACGCAAUUUAUCUCAGUAGUGAUGACUUGGCAGGCUAAUGUAGAAUCUGAGUAACUUUGUAAAUACACGCGUGUGAUAGACGGUACCAAAUCCUUCAUCGAACACGGAAAACAUUGUAAACUGUGUUAAGAGAGAUCAAACGGUGUCCAUUCAAACUAGUGUCCAUGCAGAGCGGUGUUCGUACAGGUCAGAAUAUGCAACAAUCUUCUCACAUCCACAGAAUCUCACAGUUAUAUUGUAUAUAGCGUUCCUAUUUAGCCUUUAUAUAUAUAUAUAUAUAAUGCGUUUUAACUAGAGGAGAUCUGUCAUAACCACCAAUAAGUUUUACAUGGUUAGUGUUGUUGAAUAGGACGCACAGAUGUGUGCCGCCCAUGUUUCGUGAUACUGUACCGUACACAGUGUUUAGAAAUGUAUGUGAUUAUACCUAUCACACUAGUUGUGAUGGCAAUGAGGCAGGCGGCAGCAGAGGCUACGUAACGCGAGGUCGGCCUUCUAGCUGUGAAAGUGUAAUACUCUAUAAUCACUCUGUAAAUAUUUUUCCCGUUUUGAUACGGCAGGGUUUUAUAAUUCAUCUAAUUUUUUAGCAUAAUCUUUUAACGAUUAUACGCGCGUUGUGGCAAUUUACACAUGAUGUUCGUUACACAUGAUGACAAUGAGCAAGAGCUCGUUGUUGGUAUUCGAAUGGCAAAAUGUUAAUAGAAGAAGUUUUGGCAGCAAUCGGCGUUAAGAAAACUAUAAAUAUAGGCGGAGUGGGAGAAAGUUAUCAGAAUCUCAUUUUUGCAACACACGGGAUUCUUGGACCAUGAUGGCUGAGAUUUAUCCUAACGAAUUGUGAAUGCUUAUAUCGAAAGAAAUAUAACGUAAGAAUUUUGUUAUGAAAUUAAAAAAAUAUCGAUGUUCUUCUAUUUGUUUCGGCGAUCGGUAUCAAACACGCUUCAUUCCGAGCCGGUGACGUCAUUUGCGUUUCAUGCCAAGAACACCGAUCGGCUCCCGUGUCUGGGUUCGAUUUGCCGGUAGAUUAUCCGUGAGGUAAUUCGCAAUGAAACCUGUAUGUGUACGGUUCACAUUCGCCGAGUUUUCUAUAUUCGUAGACGUAAGUACAAAACUGCGUGCAAAGAAACUAUAUUGCGAUUGUAAAA